rnacentral:rRNA from 1 species
AGAGUUUGAUCCUGGCUCAGGAUGAACGCUGGCGGCGUGCUUAACACAUGCAAGUCGAACGAAGCACUUACUUACGAUCCUUUCGGGGUGACGAGUUUGUGACUGAGUGGCGGACGGGUGAGUAACGCGUGGGUAACCUACCCUAUGAAGGGGGAUAACAGUUAGAAAUGACUGCUAAUACCGCAUAAGCGCACAGUAUCGCAUGAUACAGUGUGAAAAACUCCGGUGACAUAGGAUGGACCCGCGUCUGAUUAGCUAGUUGGUGAGGUAAUGGCUCACCAAGGCGACGAUCAGUAGCCGGCUUGAGAGAGUGAACGGCCACAUUGGGACUGAGACACGGCCCAAACUCCUACGGGAGGCAGCAGUGGGGAAUAUUGCACAAUGGGGGAAACUCUGAUGCAGCGACGCCGCGUGAGUGAUGAAGUAUUUCGGUACGUAAAGCUCUAUCAGCAAGGAAGAUAAUGACGGUACUUGACUAAGAAGCCCCGGCUAACUACGUGCCAGCAGCCGCGGUAAUACGUAGGGGGGCAAGCGUUAUCCGGAUUUACUGGGUGUAAAGGGCGUGUUAGCGGAGAAGCAAGUUGGGAGUAAAAUCCGGGGCUCCACCCCGGAACUGCUUUCAAAACUGUAUCCCUUGAGUAUCGGAGAGGCAAGGCGGAAUUCCUAGUGAAGCGGUGAAAUGCGAAAAUAUAAGGAGGAACCCCAGGGGGCAAGGGGGCUUGCUGGACAACCACCUGACCCUGAAGGCCCGAAAGCGUGGGGAACAAAAAGGAAUAAAAACCCCUGGAAACCCCCCCCGGAAAACAAAAAAAAACAAGGGGGGGGGGAGGAA